AUGAUUGAGAUAGUCUGCCACGUGCCGCGCGUACUGUACGAGUCUACGGGGCACGGAGCUGUACUCCUACUCUACUUGAGCAGCUCCAUUCUCGCCGCCUCCUCUGCUCUGCUACUCCCAGCAGCUCCACCUUUCCUUCCCACCCCCGCUCAAGCCGACCUGCCUGCAAUCACGGAGGACAGGAGAAAAACACAAAGAGACAACACCGCGCCGCUCCAGCUCCAGCCCCCGAGGCAGCUCACCGGCGGCCAUCGUCCGCCCCCUCCCCCUCCCCCGCCCAUUCCCGCGCCGCCCCGCCCGCUCGCCGCCGCCUGCUGA
rnacentral:rRNA from 1 species